CCCGGCGCACGGGUGAGUAACGCGUAUGCAACUUACCUAUCAGAGGGGGAUAACCCGGCGAAAGUCGGACUAAUACCGCAUGAAGCAGGGAUCCCGCAUGGGAAUAUUUGCUAAAGAUUCAUCGCUGAUAGAUAGGCAUGCGUUCCAUUAGGCAGUUGGCGGGGUAACGGCCCACCAAACCGACGAUGGAUAGGGGUUCUGAGAGGAAGGUCCCCCACAUUGGUACUGAGACACGGACCAA
rnacentral:rRNA from 1 species